UUAACGCAAUAAGUAAUCCGCCUGGGGAGUAUGCACGCAAGUGUGAAACUCAAAGGAAUUGACGGGGGCCCGCACAAGCGGUGGAGUAUGUGGUUUAAUUCGAAGCAACGCGAAGAACCUUACCAAGUCUUGACAUACCGCGCAAAGCGCUGGAGACAGUGAAAUAGUUAUGGCGGAUACAGGUGGUGCAUGGUUGUCGUCAGCUCGUGUCGUGAGAUGUUGGGUUAAGUCCCGCAACGAGCGCAACCCUUAUCUUUAGUUACCAUCAUUCAGUUGGGGACUCUAGAGAGACUGCCGGUGACAAACCGGAGGAAGGUGGGGAUGACGUCAAAUCAUCAUGCCCCUUAUGACUUGGGCUACACACGUACUACAAUGGCGUAUACAGAGAGAAGCGAAGUGGCGACAUGGAGCAAACCUCACAAAGUACGUCUCAGUUCAGAUUGAAGUCUGCAACUCGACUUCAUGAAGGCGGAAUCCUAGUCAAUGGGGAUCAGCAUGCCGCGGUGAAUACGUUCUCGGGCCUGUACACACGCUGACCGAGCAACGCCGCGUGAGUGAAGAAGGCCUUCGGGUUGUAAAGCUCUGUUGUAAGGGAAGACUGACCAAAGUAGGGAUUGAUCUUGGAGUGACGGUACCUUACCGGAAAGCCACGGCUAACUACGUGCCAGCAGCCGCGGUAAUACGUAGGUGGCAAGCGUUAUCCGGAAUUAUUGGGCGUAAAGGGUGCGUAGGCGGUUUGAUAAGUCUGAGGUGAAAGUUCGGC
rnacentral:rRNA from 1 species